rnacentral:tRNA from 1 species
GGUGGCUCAGUGGUAGAGCGCUUGCCUUGCAUGCAAAAGGCCCUAGGUUCAAUUCCUCAGCACCA